GAGCGAAGACCAGUGAUUUCUUGUUAGUCCAUAGUUUUAUCUGUACUAUGCACCCCCUGAUUUUGAAUAGAAUAAUUGAAUUGUUCAAUUUACAAUUCUAUACCUUCUUUAAAACUGUCAUAACUCUGCUUAGUUAAAAAGAAUUAAAAUGAUAGCUUGCAAAGUAUCUGUUUUAGGUUGUACUACUUAAUUACUGAGAUAGAUCUCAACUUCCACAGGUAAAAAAACAGUCUUACUUUCCUUAACUACUUCUUUGAAGGGCAACUUCCUUAGGUACUUGUAUUUUUUCCCUCCAAACUAUUUUAUCUGACACCAAACAUAGGUUUUACAUUUCCAAGCAAAGUACAACAUCUCUCAAGGUUUGUUGACAUGUUUCCAGUCCUGUGGGUGUCUCCCAGGCAACAGAAAUUUAGGGGAACUAAACAUAGUAUAUGAAAAACAGAUGGAAAUUGAGAUGUUGAUCAAAUGAACAGUGAAAAUGGAAACUAGGAAAAUGCCAGGCCUCACAUAGAUGCUUGUAACCUGAUGAUACCGCAAGACGCAAGUGGUGAAGACUGGCUGCUGAAAUACCAGCUUGUAUUAGGCAGAGCUGGAGGUAGGGUUCCCUAUCUUCUGGCUUGGACAAGCUGUUUCUGGAUGCUGGGGAAAAGCUUGGCUACACAUCUCACUCAGAAUGUCUCCCUUAAGAGUCAUCAUUUCUGGAAGUGCUUCCAGGUAUUUCAAGAAGGAAUAGUGAAGCAACUGGGACAGAGUCCUACGAUUCACCUGCCAGAGGAGGCAAAGAGCUUUGCGGCUGAAAUACAUCAUCUGACAAAGUCAAGUUCUAAUUAUAUUUAUGCAAGGUUAAAUUUGAAGUGA
rnacentral:lncRNA from 1 species